GGGGAAAUUGUCCAAGGAGCCUGUCGGACGAAGACGCCGAGACGCUGGAAGGUUGCUGGCGCAGCUGCGGAGGGCGGCGUCACUGAGCCGCGCCGGCGGAGCCGGUUGCAGACCCGCUCCUCUCGCCUGCUUUCUCCGGGGCUCGCUUCUUCACCCAGGGUCCGUCGAGCCUUUUCCAUGUCCCGGGUAGACGCAGUCCUCCGCACCCUCCACGCCCAUGGCCACUAGCCUGAGGAGGCCGUCUUUCACCGGCUGUUCUUCCUCCCCUCCGGACGCGGACGACGAGGGCGUGCGCGGCACUUGCGAAGAUGCUUCUCUGUGCAAGCGGAUAUUUUGCUCGUGUCCACGGCGUCAGUCAGCUUAUCAAGGCAUUUCUACGGAAGACAGGGUGCAACUGUCAAAUUCUAAACCUUGGGGCUGGGAUGGAUACCACCUUCUGGAGGUUAAAGGAUGAAGAUCUUCUACCAAGUAAAUAUUUUGAAAUAGACUUUCCAAUGAUCGUCACGAGAAAGCUGCAUAGCAUCAAAUUGAAACCUCUUCUUUCAAAACCCAUUUUAGACUUACAUUCAGAGGACACACUUCAAAUGGACGGGCACACAUUGGAUUCAACGAGAUAUGCCAUCAUUGGAGCUGAUCUCCGAGAUAUUCCUGAACUGGAAGAGAAACUAAAGAAAUGUAACAUGAAUACACAAUUGCCCACCCUCCUGGUGGCUGAAUGUGUGCUGGUUUACAUGACUCCGGAGCAGUCUGCAAACCUUCUCAAGUGGGCCGCCAACAGUUUCGAGACUGCCAUGUUCAUAAACUACGAACAGGUGAACAUGGAUGACCGGUUUGGGCAGAUCAUGAUUGAGAACCUGCGGCGGCGACAGUGUGACCUGGCGGGAGUCGAGACCUGCAAGUCGUUAGAGUCGCAGGUCAGCGGGCCGAGACCGGGACGUCCUCUUGUGCCCACCGAGGAAGGGCAGCCUCCCUUCCCAGAGAAGAGAAUGGGUGAAUCCCUCACGGGUGCCGGCCCGCAGGCAGCAGGGCGCUUGUUAGCCCCUGUGCAUCGUGCUGGACACCCAAGCCCUCUGCUGCCAUCUUGGGGUGGAAAAUGGAAACGUACAUUUCCUAGCCCCGUUGUUUCAACUUUUCAUCAUGCCAUUUUUCAAACAAAAGUAGAGGGAACAGUAAAAUGAACACCCAUGUCCCAUCAGCCAGCUUCAGAACUUAAUAACAUUUUAUCAUUGUCUUUUUUUUUUUUUUCUUCUUUUUUGGGCUCCAUCUGUGGCAUAUGGAAGUUCCCAGGCUAGGGGUCAGGUUGGAGCUGCAGCUGCUGACCUAGGCCACAGCCAUAGCAGUGCCAGUUGUGAGCUUCAGCUGCCACCAUGCUACAGCUGGUGGCAUGGCCAGAUCCUUAACCUACUAGCAGGGUCAGGGAUGGAACCGCAUCCUCAUGGAUACUCAUCAGGUUCUUAACCCACUGAGCCGCAGUGGGAACUCCUCAUGUCAUUUUGUUUACCCUCCCUCCUGCAGUUUUUGUUGGUAUUGUUCUUGGAAUAUCUUAAGGCAAAUCCCAGCCAGUAGGUCAUUUCCCCCGUAAAUACUUCAGUCUGAACCUCCUGCCAGUGAGGACCUUCCCCCUCAGGAUAACGAUAAUACUAUUGUCACACCUUACAGAUUGACACAACGCCUUUGUAGGAGCAUCUGACCCAGCUCACCUCCAGUUUUCCUCAACCAUCUAAAAUGCAUUUGUCAUUAGUGUUUUUGAAUCAGGAUCCAAACAUGGUUCCCAAUUUGUACUUGACCGAUGGGUCCCUCCAGUCUCUUGGAAUCUAUCAUUGUUCCCUCCGCCUUCUGCCCCCUCCACCUUUUAUAAUUUGUUGCUGAAGGGACACGUCCCACUCCUGCCCGCAUUUUCACACUGCUUAUGUCAUGUUAUCCCUAGGGCACUUAAAAAACACUGUUGCUCAUGGGACGGUUUCUUCCUUUGUUCCUCUUUAAAUAGACUUCAGUACCUUUCCCCCCAGUCCCGCAUUAUAACAGCACAGCUUCUCUAUAGAAAAUGGAACAAUAAGAAGGAGAAAGAUGGUGGGGGCCAGAAUGGGCUUUAGAAAGAGGAGUCCUCCGAGGGGAGCUCUGGUGCCUGUGCAGAGUGUCCUGUGUCCCACGACAGCAUGUUGUCAUCUCCGUUUCUCCCCACUACAUGUUUUAGAAAGAACGGCUCCUGUCCAGUGGGUGGGAAUCGGCUUCAGCCGUGGACAUGAUGGAAUUGUACAGCAAGUUACCUCGCGCGGAAGUGAGCAGAAUAGAGUCCCUUGAAUUCCUGGAUGAAAUGGAGCUUCUUGAGCAACUCAUGCAGCAUUACUGCCUUUGCUGGGCAACCAAAGGAGGCAGUAAUCUGGGUUUGAAAGAAAUUACUUAUUGAUCUGUUCAAGAUGCGUGCGGAUCCAGAGCCAAAGCCACCACCCUCUCUGGAGCUGAGUCUCUGAGUUUCCCAGGCGGUGGUUAAGCCUCUGCUUCCAGUACCCCUGCCCUUGGCCGAGAGACCUCAGUUCCUGGGGUGUCUGUUCCAGUUCCUGUUCCUGUUGGCCUGUUGUUGAAAUAAAUUUCAGUUGCCAGUCG